rnacentral:rRNA from 1 species
AGUCACUGACAUUAGAUACCCCUGUAGCCCCAGCCGUAAACAAUGUGCGUUAGGUGUGUCGGUAACCACGUGUUACUGAUGCGCCGAAGAGAAAUCGUGAAACGCACCACCUGGGAAGUACGGUCGCAAGGCUGAAACUUAAAGGAAUUGGCGGGGAGCACCACAACAGGUGGAGCCUGCGGUUUAAUUGGAUUCAACGCCGGACAUCUCACCGGAUAAGACAGCUGAAUGAUUGUCAAUCUGAAGGUUUUACAUGACUAGCUG